UACGUAGGGCGCAAGCGUUAUCCGGAAUUAUUGGGCGUAAAGAGCUCGUAGGCGGUUUGUCGCGUCUGCCGUGAAAGUCCGGGGCUCAACUCCGGAUCUGCGGUGGGUACGGGCAGACUAGAGUGAUGUAGGGGAGACUGGAAUUCCUGGUGUAGCGGUGAAAUGCGCAGAUAUCAGGAGGAACACCGAUGGCGAAGGCAGGUCUCUGGGCAUUAACUGACGCUGAGGAGCGAAAGCGUGGGGAGCGAACCGG
rnacentral:rRNA from 1 species